rnacentral:lncRNA from 1 species
CAUCAUUUUAUUAAAAUUAUUAAUAUAUUUUUUUUACUAUAUUGUACUGUUUAUUACAUGUUAAUAAUGAAUAUUAAUUCGAUAUCAGGAAUCAUUAUAUGUACAUAGAAAGUAAGAUGGUGAAAAUCGUAUAUACACAUAAAUUAUAUUGUAACAAUCAUAUAUAAACAUAAGUAUGUGGUAACACUCAUAUAUAAAAAUAAGUAUAGUGUUACACUCAUAUAUAAACAUAAUUAUAUGGUAACCAACAAGACAACAUGAUAUUAAAGCAAGUUCAAACAAAUCCGUACCUACAUCUUAAUUUAUCCGAUGACCGAAAGUGGACCAGGCACAUUGUGAAAUUUAUAAGCAGGACACGCUGUACACUUGGUUUCCUUCUAAGAAACUUACGCAAGUACCUUUGAGAGUGCAACAAACUAUCCUACUUUAAAAGCCAUGGUUAGAUCGGUACUAAAAUACCAUCCUAUCACUUGGAACCCAUUCACCAAUAGAAGAUAGAAAGCAUACAGAAAAGAAGUGCACGUUUCAUCCUGCACGACUAUAAAUCCAGAGAAACAGGAUGCGUUACAAAUAUGAUUUUAAAACCACCUCUUAAAAGAACCAAGGAAACACCAGAGGCUGAAUAUGUUCUCUAAAGUUGCUCAGUUAUUGAUGUCGGUUAACGAUUGAAAUACAUGUAUCUACAAGAAAACAGAAACAAAAGCCAAGUCAAGACAAAUAACAUUAUUGAUUUUAAAUACAAGAACAUCACAAAAAGACAAGAAACCCAUAAUAGCAUGAAUAGCAGAUCAUUCCAUUUGACGGACUGCAAAACAGACAUCUGAAAGAACUCCUUUUUCCUAAAACGAUAGUGAAGUAGAACCACCUAGAAAAUAACAUCACUGCCCUCCAAUACUUAUACUAACCAACCUCUUCCAAUGCGCAUAUAUCAGCAAUUGGAUCCUGCGAUGUGUAACAUACAUUGAUAGAUACAUAGUGGUGAGAAAAAAAAUAUAUGUAAAAAUCAUAUAUAAACAUCAACAUAAUAAUAUGGUAAAAUUAUUUAUAAAAAUAAUGAUAUGCUAACAAUAAUAUAAAAAACAUAAUUAUCAUGAUCUUAUGCAUGGAAUUAAUAUUAUCGAUAUAAUUAUAUGUACAUAGUAAUUUGAAAAUAAUAUAUGGUAAAAUUAACAUAACAA